rnacentral:tRNA from 1 species
CGGGGUGUAGCGCAGUCUGGUAGCGCACCUGCCUUGGGCGCAGGGGGUCGUGAGUUCGAAUCUCGCCACCCCGACCA